CAUUAUUGAAACUUGAAUCGUAGCAUUGAGAACUGUUGCUGACCUGUUAAAGGGUAUGUGCACGUUCGACGUGUUGCGUUCUAUUCAUCCACCUGUGCACCUUUGUAGACUUGAUUAACUUUCGCUCUCGAGCGGUUAGAAGGGUUGCUUUCGAGCUCCCUUUGUCUAUCUAGUCUAUGUCUAUAUAAUCUCUUGUAUGUCUAGAAUGUCUUGUUUAUGGGACGCAAGUCCUUUAAAUCUUAUACAACUUUCAACAACGGAUCUCUUGGCUCUCGCAUCGAUGAAGAACGCAGCGAAAUGCGAUAACUAAUGUGAAUUGCAGAAUUCAGUGAAUCAUCGAGUCUUUGAACGCACCUUGCGCCCUCUGGUAUUCCGAAGGGCAUGCCUGUUUGAGUGUCAUUAAAUUCUCAACCUCCCCUUCUUUCAUUAGGAGUGCGGCGGAUUGGAUAUGGGGGUUUGCUGGUUUCUAACGAGAUCAGCUCCUCUGAAAUGCAUUAGCAGAAACCGUUUGACUUUGGCUGCUAGGCUGUGAUAAUGUCUACGCCUUGGUAGUUGGGUCGGAAUACGAGAGUCAUACAGUGGUAACUAAUCAGGCUUUCGAGUCUGGCUUAGGAUCGG
rnacentral:rRNA from 1 species